CAUUCGAACGCACAUUGCAGCCAUUGGAUAUCCAUUGGCUUUGUUUGUCUGAGCGUCGUUAUCUCUUGUUAAAGAUAUAAAAAAUCUUUCGUGAAUUAUUGAACAAUUUCUCGUCAGAUUAAAUACGUAACGUUUAAAGCUAACUCGUGGAGCGAAUGGCACUAAUGUGUGGUACGUUCCAAAGAGUAUUUUGGCGUCUCCAGCUAAAUUACUCCAGUACUUCCAAUGGUCCAUUAAUACAAAGCUAAACAGAGUGGAGCUACGUAAUAAAUUUUAAAAUUUAGUCUUUUGUCGACCUCAGAUCAAGCGAGAUUACCCGCUGAAUUUAAG
rnacentral:rRNA from 1 species